GAUGAACGCUGGCGGCGUGCCUAAUGCAUGCAAGUCGAGCGAACGGACGAGAAGCUUGCUUCUCUGAUGUUAGCGGCGGACGGGUGAGUAACACGUGGAUAACCUACCUAUAAGACUGGGAUAACUUCGGGAAACCGGAGCUAAUACCGGAUAAUAUUUUGAACCGCAUGGUUCAAAAGUGAAAGACGGUCUUGCUGUCACUUAUAGAUGGAUCCGCGCUGCAUUAGCUAGUUGGUAAGGUAACGGCUUACCAAGGCAACGAUGCGUAGCCGACCUGAGAGGGCGAUCGGCCACACUGGAACUGAGACACGGUCCAGACUCCUACGGGAGGCAGCAGUAGGGAAUCUUCCGCAAUGGGCGAAAGCUUGACGGAGCAACGCCGCGUGAGUGAUGAAGGUCUUCGGAUCGUAAAACUCUGUUAUUAGGGAAGAACAAAUGUGUAAGUAACUAUGCACGUCUUGACGGUACCUAAUCAGAAAGCCACGGCUAACUACGUG
rnacentral:rRNA from 1 species